AACCGAAACUGGUGCACAGUAAAACUGAAAUGCCAAAUUUAUAAUUUUUUUUUUUUUUGCUCUUGGCUUGGCUCCUUGUCAGUAUUAACAUAAAGUUAAUUUCUAGUCUUAAUUUCUGUUUAUGCUACAUAUUUCAAAGAUGAACACGAGGAAAGAAAACCCUAAAAUGCUGGCUUCUUGCUAUUUGUUCGGUGUACUUUGAACAGAAGAAACAAAACUGCCAUUUCUUGUGCAAUCAUGCUGGCUGUAUCAAUGCUGUCCUAAUUUUGGAUUAAAAAAUGUGCAAUGCGUUGCCCCGAACAAUGAAAGUAGUUUUUGUGAAUGGAAGCUGCAAGAGGUUCUGCUACCUUAAAAACACUGACCUACCAUUACCAGCCUUGCAUUGCAAGAAAGAAGUUGUAAUGUAAUUAAUUGUGAUAGUUUUUAUAUUAAGUGUUGCAUCCACACUGUUUCUUCCCUUUCAGGAGCAAGCUAUUGACCGAGAGCAGGAGAGAGACAUUUUUCAGGAAGAGAUACAGAAGCCAGAACAACUUCAGCUUAAGAUUCCACAAAGGAUUCAGCCUGUCAGUGAACAUCCGAGCAGAGAGGUAACGCAUGGUAUGACUUGUACUCAAGGAAUAGAAACGGUAUGAUGACGGCUGUUCAGAUCCCCUAAGGAAACUAAUUGAUGGUUUACCUAACAUGAAUCCAUUCAGCAGCAAGGAAAGUCCAUCCCCUCAGAUGAAGGGUACCAUGGUGGGCAAAUGUGGGGAAACUGUCCCCUGGGUGUUUUUUGAGUCAGUUGGUUGGGUGGUUUCAGUAGCAGAGACGCAGAAACUUCAUAACUUUCAAAAAGACUCACCUUUAGGAGUACUUUAGCAUUUCCCCCUGUUGGUCUGUCAUCCCCUGUUUGUAGGGCAGGUAGAGGCACGGCAGGUAAGACGUUAUCAAGGCAUCAGAUCUGAGAUGCAGUGGCACUCUCUGUGUGCCCCUCAAGUGUUCCGCUUCGAAGUAAAACCAGACCAAUGUUGUGUUCUGUAAGUUUGUAUUUUAGC
rnacentral:lncRNA from 1 species